AUACGGAGGAUCCGAGCGUUAUCGGAUUUAUUGGGUUUAAAGGGAGCGUAGGUGGACAUGUAAGUCAGUUGUGAAAGUUUGCGGCUCAACCGUAAAAUUGCAGUUGAUACUGUGUGUCUUGAGUACAGUAGAGGUGGGCGGAAUUCGUGGUGUAGCGGUGAAAUGCUUAGAUAUCACGAAGAACUCCGAUUGCGAAGGCAGCUCACUGGACUGUUACUGACACUGAGGCUCGAAAGUGUGGGAAUCAAACAGGAUUAGAUACCCUGGUAGUCCGCACAGUAAACGAUGAAUACUCGCUGUUUGCGAUACACUGUAAGCGGCCAAGCGAAAGCGUUAAGUAUUCCACCUGGGGAGUACGCCGGCAACGGUGAAACUUAAAGGAAUUGGCGGGG
rnacentral:rRNA from 1 species